GUGGGGAAUAUUGCACAAUGGGCGCAAGCCUGAUGCAGCCAUGCCGCGUGUGUGAAGAAGGCCUUCGGGUUGUAAAGCACUUUCAGUCGUGAGGAAGGUAGUGUAGUUAAUAGCUGCAUUAUUUGACGUUAGCGACAGAAGAAGCACCGGCUAACUCCGUGCCAGCAGCCGCGGUAAUACGGAGGGUGCGAGCGUUAAUCGGAAUUACUGGGCGUAAAGCGCAUGCAGGUGGUUUGUUAAGUCAGAUGUGAAAGCCCGGGGCUCAACCUCGGAAUAGCAUUUGAAACUGGCAGACUAGAGUACUGUAGAGGGGGGUAGAAUUUCAGGUGUAGCGGUGAAAUGCGUAGAGAUCUGAAGGAAUACCGGUGGCGAAGGCGGCCCCCUGGACAGAUACUGACACUCAGAUGCGAAAGCGUGGGGAGCAAACAGGAUUAGAAACCCGAGUAGUCC
rnacentral:rRNA from 1 species